AUCUUUGGUUAUCUAGCUGUAUGUUUGCUGUUUGUCAUAAAGCUGGAAAACCGAAAGU
rnacentral:pre_miRNA from 1 species